rnacentral:rRNA from 1 species
GCGAAAACUUUACAAUGCUGGCAACAGCGAUAAGGGAACCUCGAGUGCCAGGUUACAAAUCUGGCUGUCGAGAUGCCUAAAAAGCAUUUCAUAGCAAGGGCCGGGCAAGACCGGUGCCAGUCGCCGCGGUAACACCGGCGGCUCGAGUGGUAACCGUUAUUAUUGGGUCUAAAGGGUCUGUAGCCGGCCGGAUAAGUCUCUUGAGAAAUCUGGCAGCUUAACUGUCAGGCUUUCAGGAGAUACUGUCUGGCUCGAGGCCGGGAGAGGUGAGAGGUACUUCAGGGGUAGGGGUGAAAUCUUGUAAUCCUUGAAGGACCACCAGUGGAGAAGGCGUCUCACCAGAACGGACCUGACGGCAAGGGACGAAAGCUAGGGGCACGAACC